UCCCUUAGAUGUUCUGGGCCGCACGCGCGCUACACUGAUGCAUUCAACGAGUCUAAAACCUGCUCUGAUAGGGGUGGGUAAUCUUUUGAAUGUGCAUCGUGAUUGGGAUAGAUGAUUGCAAUUUUUCAUCUUCAACGAGGAAUGCCUAGUAAACGCAAGUCAUCAGCUUGCAUUGAUUACGUCCCUGCCCUUUGUACACACCGCCCGUCGCUCCUACCGAUUGAGUGGUCCGGUGAGGCUUUGGGAUCUGAGCGGAAAGAGCGUUUCGCUGUUUCUGCUCGGAAAACUCAGUCGAACCUUAUCAUUUAGAGGAAGGAGAAGUCGUAACA
rnacentral:rRNA from 1 species